AACAUAAUAUUUGAAAGAUAGAAGAGGCAGAAAGGGAGAAAAGAAUAGAGAAGGUGUUUGUAGAAAUAAUGUUAGAAAACUUACCUAACCUGGUAAAAGAAAAAGUCACACAAGUUCAGCAGGCACAGAGAACCCCAAACAAGAACCCAAACAGAACCCAAAUACAUCAUAAUUAAAAUGCCAAAAAUUAAAGACAAAGAGAGAAUUUUAA